GUAGUCCACGCUGUAAACGUUGGGCACUAGGUGUGGCGACCCGAUCAACGGUUGCCGUGCCGAAGCUAACGCAUUAAGUGCCCCGCCUGGGGAGUACGGCCGCAAGGCUAAAACUCAAAGGAAUUGACGGGUCCCCGCACAAGCGGCGGAGCAUGCGGCUUAAUUCGAUGCGACCCGAAGAACCUUACCUGGGUUUGACAUCAUGGGAAAAGCCGUAGAGAUACGGUGUCCGAAAGGGCCCAUGACAGGUGGUGCAUGGCUGUCGUCAGCUCGUGUCGUGAGAUGUUGGGUUAAGUCCCGCAACGAGCGCAACCCUUGUCUUAUGUUACCAGCGGGUUAUGCCGGGGACUCAUAAGAGACUGCCGGGGACAACUCGGAGGAAGGUGGGGACGACGUCAAGUCAUCAUGCCCCUUAUGCCCAGGGCUGCACGCAUGCUACAAUGGCCGGUACAACGGGCUGCGAUCCUGCGAAGGUGAGCGAAUCCCUUAAAGCCGGCCUCAGUUCAGAUUGGAGUCUGCAACUCGACUCCAUGAAGUCGGAGUCGCUAGUAAUCGCGAAUCAGCAAUGUCGCGGUGAAUGCGUUCUCGGGGAUUGUACACACCGCCCGUCAAGUCACGAAAGUCGGCAACACCCGAAGUCAGUGGCCCAACCGCAAGGAGGGAGCUGCCUAAGGUGGGGUUGGUAAUUGGGACU
rnacentral:rRNA from 1 species